rnacentral:piRNA from 2 species
UGCUCUGAGUCUGGAAUGGUCUUUUUGGA